rnacentral:rRNA from 1 species
UACGUAGGGGGCAAGCGUUGUCCGGAAUCACUGGGCGUAAAGCGCGCGCAGGCGGCUAUCUACGUCCGGGGUGAAAGCCCAGAGCUCAACUCUGGGAUUGCCUUGGAUACGGGAUGGCUUGAGGAUCGGAGAGGCAAGGGGAAUUCCACGUGUAGCGGUGAAUUGCGUAGAGAUGUGGAGGAACACCUGUGGCGAAGGCGCCUUGCUGGCCGAUUUCUGACGCUGAGGCGCGAAAGCGUGGGGAGCAAACAGG